AGUGAACGCUGGCGGUAGGCCUAACACAUGCAAGUCGAACGGCAGCACAGUAAGAGCUUGCUCUUACGGGUGGCGAGUGGCGGACGGGUGAGGAAUACAUCGGAAUCUACUUUUUCGUGGGGGAUAACGUAGGGAAACUUACGCUAAUACCGCAUACGACCUACGGGUGAAAGCAGGGGAUCUUCGGACCUUGCGCGAUUGAAUGAGCCGAUGUCGGAUUAGCUAGUUGGCGGGGUAAAGGCCCACCAAGGCGACGAUCCGUAGCUGGUCUGAGAGGAUGAUCAGCCACACGGAAAGUGAGACCGGGUCCGACCCCAGCGGGGGGCAGCCAGGGGGAAUUUUGGACAAUGGGCCGCAGGCUGGCCCCACCAACCCCGGGUGGGGAAAAAGGGCCUCCGGUUUGAAAGCCCCUUUUUUGGGAAAAAAAAACAAGGGGGUUACUACCCCGGUGUUCGGCGGUACCCAAAAAAAAAAGCCCCGCCAAACUUCGUG
rnacentral:rRNA from 1 species